GACGAACGCUGGCGGCGUGCCUAAUACAUGCAAGUAGAACGCUGAAGGAGGAGCUUGCUUCUCUGGAUGAGUUGCGAACGGGUGAGUAACGCGUAGGUAACCUGCCUGGUAGCGGGGGAUAACUAUUGGAAACGAUAGCUAAUACCGCAUAAUAGCAGUUGUUGCAUGAUAACUGUUUGAAAGGUGCAAUUGCACCACUACCAGAUGGACCUGCGUUGUAUUAGCUAGUUGGUGGGGUAACGGCUCACCAAGGCGACGAUACAUAGCCGACCUGAGAGGGGGAUCGGCCACACUGGGAAUGAGACACGGCCCAGACUCCUACGGGAGGCAGCAGUAGGGAAUCUUCGGCAAUGGACGGAAGUCUGACCGAGCAACGCCGCGUGAGUGAAGAAGGUUUUCGGAUCGUAAAGCUCUGUUGUAAGAGAAGAACGAGUGUGAGAGUGGAAAGUUCACACUGUGACGGUAUCUUACCAGAAAGAGACGGCUAACUACGUG
rnacentral:rRNA from 1 species